rnacentral:misc_RNA from 1 species
GGAAAUUCCAAAUCAACUUUAUUGAUAAGUUAUACGGUCCAGCAUUCAGUAUACUAAACUUCAACAUCUCUUUACACAUUCAAGGAAUGUCGAAUGGUGCUUACAGUAUAUUUUCACCAAUUCCGUUGCUAUUUUACGGAAAGUGAAACAGGAAAGUGUCACUAGCCCGUUUGAUUCACCAAAUGCUUAAUCAAUCAAGUUUAGCAACUGCUGCUUGCUAACUCUGGGCAUCCGUUCUCCUAAAACAAUAAACUUGCCCAAGCAGCAAUAAAUGCAAAGCCACCGAGAGGAGCUAAGGUUGAGUAUUUCCUGUCUUCAAGAAGUGCAACAGCAUAGCACGAUCCAGAGAAAGCCAUAAUUCCACCAGUUAGCAGCCCUCCAAAAAUGUUUGGAUGUUUAGUGAUAGGCGCAGCAAGAAGGGCAGCAGUGUGAACCAGAUGGUACAAUGACGCAGUAUUCCACACCUCUUUGUAAGUGGGGUUUUGGGGCUUGAAACCAUGAGCACCAUAAGCUCCUAACCCAACAGCAGCUACACCAGAUAUAGCAGCUAUCUUGUGCCAGAUUUGAGGAUCCAUUUUUGAUGAUUUCUGGGUUUUGGAUGAACUGGUUUUGAUCUUUGCAACUUUGUUCAAGUUUGG